GUGCCAGCUGCCGCGGUAAUACCGGCAGCUCGAGUGAUGUCCAAUUUUAUUGGGCCUAAAGCGUCCGUAGCUGGCCAGCCAAGUUCGUCGGGAAAUCCACCUGCCCAACAGGUGGGCGUCCGGCGAAAACUGUCUGGCUUGGAACCGGAAGGCUCAGAGGGUACGUCGAGGGUAGGAGUGAAAUCCUGUAAUCCUCGACGGACCACCGAUGGCGAAAGCACUCUGAGAAGACGGAUCCGACAGUGAGGGACGAAAGCCAGGGUCUCCAACCGGAUUAGAUACCCGGGUAGUCC
rnacentral:rRNA from 1 species